rnacentral:rRNA from 1 species
GAUGAACGCUGGCGGCGUGCCUAACACAUGCAAGUCGAGCGGCAGCGAGGGGUGCUUGCACCCUGUCGGCGAGCGGCGGACGGCUGAGUAACGCGUGGGAACGUGCCCCAAAGUGAGGAAUAACUGCCCGAAAGGGUAGCUAAUACCGCAUAUUAUCUUCGGAUCAAAGGAUUUAUCCGCUUUGGGAGCGGCUCGCGUCGGAUUAGGUAGUUGGUGAGGUAAUGGCUCACCAAGCCGACGAUCCGUAGCUGGUCUGAGAGGAUGACCAGCCAGACUGGAACUGAGACACGGUCCAGACUCCUACGGGAGGCAGCAGUGAGGAAUCUUCCACAAUGGGCGAAAGCCUGAUGGAGCAACGCCGCGUGCAGGACGAAGGCCUUCGGGUUGUAAACUGCUUUUAUAAGUGAGGAAUAUGACGGUAACUUAUGAAUAAGGAUCGGCUAACUACGCG